rfam:Micromonospora humi strain DSM 45647 genome assembly, contig: Ga0070213_128
CUUGAUCGACCCGAGCCACAACGGCUCGUCGCGGUCCUGCCCGUACGUGGCCAGCAACGCCUGCGCCUC